rnacentral:rRNA from 1 species
AUUGAACGCUGGCGGCAUGCCUUACACAUGCAAGUCGAACGGUAACAGGUCUUCGGAUGCUGACGAGUGGCGCACGGGUGAGUAAUACAUCGGAACGUGCCCGAUCGUGGGGGAUAACGAAGCGAAAGCUUUGCUAAUACCGCAUACGAUCUACGGAUGAAAGCAGGGGACCGCAAGGCCUUGCGCGAACGGAGCGGCCGAUGGCAGAUUAGGUAGUUGGUGGGAUAAAAGCUUACCAAGCCGACGAUCUGUAGCUGGUCUGAGAGGACGACCAGCCACACUGGGACUGAGACACGGCCCAGACUCCUACGGGAGGCAGCAGUGGGGAAUUUUGGACAAUGGGCGAAAGCCUGAUCCAGUCAUGCCGCGUGCAGGAUGAAGGCCUUCGGGUUGUAAACUGCUUUUGUACGGAACGAAAAGACUCUGGUUAAUACCUGGGGUCCAUGACGGUACCGGAAGAAUAAGCACCGGCUAACUACGUG